rnacentral:rRNA from 1 species
GACGAACGCUGGCGGCGCGCCUAACACAUGCAAGUCGAGCGAAGCGGCGAACGGGUGAGUAACGCGUGAGGAACCUGCCUCUUACAACGGGAUAGCCUCGGGAAACCGGGAUUAAUACCGUAUAGUAAGAGAUGGCCUCGCGUCUGAUUAGUUAGUUGGCGGGGUAACGGCCCACCAAGACGACGAUCAGUAACCGGCCUGAGAGGGUGAACGGUCACAUUGGAACUGAGACACGGUCCAAACUCCUACGGGAGGCAGCAGUGGGGGAUAUUGCACAAUGGGCGAAAGCCUGAUGCAGCGACGCCGCGUGGGGGAUGAAGGCUUUCGGGUUGUAAACCUCUUUCCUAUCGAACACUAUAGGGUGGGUUGAGGGUAGGUGGAGAAGAAGCGCCGGCUAACUACGUGCCAGCAGCCGCGGUAAUAC